CAACCACAGAAGGCCCAAACCAAAGGUAGUGAACGUGGGCUUUCUCGUCGAUACAUAAAAUUAAAAAAUGGCCAAGGGUUAAAUUGGAAUAAAAUGAUUAGUGUGUCGUAAUGAAUUGAACGCUACUAUUAAAUCGUCCCACUCUUGUAGUGGAAGCCCUUCUGACUUUUAAAUUGGGGAUACACGAAACCCUAAUUCUGUAUCGAUGGCGAUCCACUUCUAUUCUUUUUCCCUUUGCAACCAACAUAACUUCGUCGAUAUCGAAGCUCUUACAAUUUUCUUUUAUUGCACAUUUCCCGUCUGAUCGCACCUCACCGAGAAGAAGUGCCAGAAGUCGCCGUUCUUGUUUUUGUUUAUUUUGACCCUAUAUUUCUGGCAAGACGAUCACAUAGCGGAGUGGAUAUCGCGUUAGACUCCGAAUCUAAAGGUCGUGGGUUCGAAUCCCACUGUGAUCGUAAUUUUUUGUGAUUUCUCUUCAUUUCUUUUUUAACUUCAUCUUACGAUUUCCAUCGCGAGAUUGAUUAAAUGUCUCCCUAAUUUCUUUAUUUUAUUUUUUUAUUUUUCUAGUAAAAUCUUGAACUGUGUGCCAACUUUGUUGGUGCGAAAUUGUAAAAAAAGAUGUAAAUGAAAGAAGAGAAGAGAGUUAUAAAUUA